AAUGGAAUCGCUGGUUCAUAUGGUAACUCUAACUUCUCAAGAGAUGUGAAAUUGUUUUCCAAAGUUACAGUACCAUUUUACAUUCCUAUUGGUGAU
rnacentral:pre_miRNA from 1 species